rnacentral:rRNA from 1 species
CAAUAGCGUAUAUUUAAGUUGCUGCAGUUAAAAAGCUCGUAGUUGGAUUUCGGGUGGGAAUGGCCGGUCCGCCGUUUCGGUGUGCACUUGCUACGCCCACCUUGCUGCCGGGGACGUGCUCUUGAGUUCACGCUCGGGACACGGAGUCGGCGAGGUUACUUUGAGUAAAUUAGAGUGUUCAAAGCAGGCCUACGCUCUGAAUACAUUAGCAUGGAAUAACACGAUAGGACUCUGGCCUAUCUUGUUGGUCUGUAGGACCGGAGUAAUGAUUAAGAGGGACAGUCGGGUGCAUUCGUAUUUCAUUGUCAGAGGUGAAAUUCUUGGAUUUAUGAAAGACGAACUACUGCGAAAGCAUUUGCCAAGGAUGUUUUCAUUGA